rnacentral:rRNA from 1 species
UACGAAGGGGGCUAGCGUUGUUCGGAAUUACUGGGCGUAAAGCGCGCGUAGGCGGACAUCUAAGUCAGAGGUGAAAUGCCGGGGCUUAACCUCGGAACUGCCUUUGAUACUGGAAGUCUGGAGUUCGGGAGAGGUGAGUGGAAUUCCGAGUGUAGAGGUGAAAUUCGUAGAUAUUCGGAGGAACACCAGAAGCGAAGGCGGCUCACUGGCCCGUAAUUGACGCUGAGGCGCGAAAGCGUGGGGAGCAAACAGG